AAAAUUCUAGAGUGUAAUUAUUACUAUCGUCCUAAUACCCAAUCAGAAAAAUUCUGACUUCUGUCUUUCCAUCAUUCUGUCAUUUCAGUUUUAAUGGCGCUACUGUUUUCAAAGGAAGCUUUAAUCCCCGUGACUUUUGAUCUGUUCAUUUUGAAACUUCCUCACUUUCUCUCCAUCUCCUUUCUUCUUCAAUCCGGUUCUCUCAUGCUAUCAUUUUCCAUUUGGUUUUCAACAUAUUUGGGGACACUCUCAACUAGCAAGCAAAGGCUUCAACAGCAAAGGCGGAUGACACUCUUUGAAGAAUCUUUGAGCAUGAUAGGAGGACGAGCCCUUCACUGUUUUUGACGACUAUUUUGGAUGCCGACUGAUGAUUCCGCUCAUCAUAGGCUCCAUCAAAUUUAAUUUUUAUUGUUUGGCCAGCAUUUCUGUCUCCCUAGAUGGCCCAUAGCGCACAGCAAAAUUUUUGCAAUGACUGAAAGGAUGUUGAACGAAAACCCUAGUAAGCCACUGUUCAAAUGUUAUAUUAGAUUCCUGUUUAAAGUUUGAGGUCGAUAAUGCUCUCCAAAAUGACACUGAAAUAAGACAUUUGCGGAAGAGGUGGUCUAUUGAUUCUGCUCCUUCACUACAACGGGGGCAUGCAAAAUUGUUUACUAGUUUUCUGUAUACCAUGUUAGCCCUUGUAGGCAGAUAGUUCCAUGAGAUUUUCCAAAUUGUAACUUUAAUUUUGGUAGGUAGAUCUAAGAGCCAAAGUUUUUUUGUAAAAAUCCCUGUAGUCGGUUUGUAAAGCAUAAGCUCUAGGAUAAAAAAUUUGUAAUAGUUUGUAGGCACUUCGAACAGAGUAUUCUCCCGAAGGUUCCCCGCUCCACGUCAGGAUAUCAACAUGAGGUUCUUUCACCAACGGGAUGCUAAGGAUCUUUUCUACUUCUACUUCUGGGAAGGUAUUGACAAUCAGCUUUCUCUUCCAUUUCCUUUCAUUAGAAUCAAUUAACUCAGCAACUUUAAAAUCUGACAAAUUAAAAUUACUUGACGAUAGUCUAAAGUUUCUUGAAUCUGGAAUCCAAUUGUCAUUAAUAACGGAAAUGAUCGUACCCAAACCUACCUUCCAGCAAAAUCCUCCUUCCAAAAUACCCUUACUCGCCCAUAUACUCCUCCAUACAAAAGUGCUAUUAUUUCCCAAUCACGAGUUUAAAAAAAAUCUUCUGGAAAAUAUUUUGCUUUAAAUACUUGCGCAACUAAAGAAUUUGGGUAAUUUAAGAACCUCUAUCCUUGUUUUCUUAGUAAUGCGAUAUUAAAUAGUCAUACUCUCGAACCCCAUUUUGCCUUCCUCUUUAGGACGACACAAAUGUUUCCACUAGCACCAUUGUAUUCCUCUUUUCCCGUGGCCCUUUUGCCACGAAAAUCUAGCACAAAUAUUUUCGAUCUCUCCAUAUAAUAAAUUUGGUAGAAGAAAGCAAGACAUAGCAUACGUAGGUAUUGCCUGUAGUACUGAUUUAAAGAAGAUCUCCUUUCUCCCUUACGAUAGAAACUUAGUGACGCAGCAUUUAAUUCCCAGAGACCUUUUUUUUUUUAAAUUUUGAAAAGAUUCGAUUUACCGUCUGCCUAGAACAUUAGGGAGAGCCAAAUAUUUUUCAAGAUUUGUUAAGCUUCUUAUUCCUAGCAUUGUUGAGACUUCUUUUUUUUUCUUCUUUUGUAUUUGAGUUGUAGAAGAUCGUUGAUUUAUUAAAGUUUACACAUUGCCCUGAGCAGCUUUCAUAUUCCUUUAGUAUCCCUUUCAAAAUUGUCGCACCCCUAAUUGUUACUUCACCAAACAAAAUACAAUCAUCCGCAAAAAGUAGGUGAGAUAACUCCGGCCCUCUUUUGCUUGCUUUUUCACCUUUUAGCAAACCCUCUACCAUUUUUUAUCUCAUCAAUGAUGAAAGUUCUGCACUACGUAUUAGAAAAAGAAAUGGACUAAGGGGAUUACCUCGGCUAAGCCCCUUUAUAGGUUGAAAAGUUCCUCCCUUCUUUCCAUUGAUAUUUACUACAUAAGAGAUUGUGGUAAUGUAUUUCAUAAUUAAUACCACCCACUCCCUUGAGAAGCCUAUUUGUAACAGUACUAUCUUUAUAAAGUCCUAUUCAACUCUAUCAUAAGCUUUACUCAUAUCUAGUUUCACUGCCAUAUAUUCUUUUCUCCUGUUCCCUUUUGUCGAAAUCUGUGUAGAAUUUCUUAUGCUAAAAGCACAUUAUCAUAUAUAA